GCCAGGGUGGUGAAAUGGUAUACACGCACGGUUUAGGACCGUGUGCUCUUUAUCGAGCGUGCAGGUUCAAGUCCUGUCCCUGGCA
rfam:Candidatus Woesebacteria bacterium RIFCSPLOWO2_01_FTLL_37_19 rifcsplowo2_01_scaffold_11558, whole genome shotgun sequence.